rnacentral:rRNA from 1 species
GGGUUGUGAGGUUAAGCGACUAAGCGUACACGGUGGAUGCCCUGGCAGUCAGAGGCGAUGAAGGACGUGCUAAUCUGCGAUAAGCGCCGGUAAGGUGAUAUGAACCGUUAUAACCGGCGAUUUCCGAAUGGGGAAACCCAGUGUGACUCGUCACACUAUCAUUAACUGAAUCCAUAGGUUAAUGAGGCGAACCGGGGGAACUGAAACAUCUAAGUACCCCGAGGAAAAGAAAUCAACCGAGAUUCCCCCAGUAGCGGCGAGCGAACGGGGAGGAGCCCAGAGCCUGAAUCAGCAUGUGUGUUAGUGGAAGCGUCUGGAAAGGCGCGCGAUACAGGGUGACAGCCCCGUACACAAAAGCGCAUGUGCUGUGAGCUCGAUGAGUAGGGCGGGACACGUGGUAUCCUGUCUGAAUAUGGGGGGACCAUCCUCCAAGGCUAAAUACUCCUGACUGACCGAUAGUGAACCAGUACCGUGAGGGAAAGGCGAAAAGAACCCCGGCGAGGGGAGUGAAAAAGAACCUGAAACCGUGUACGUACAAGCAGUGGGAGCACAGGUUUACCUGUGUGACUGCGUACCUUUUGUAUAAUGGGUCAGCGACUUAUAUUCUGUAGCAAGGUUAACCGAAUAGGGGAGCC